CCCCUAUUGAAAAAGUGACGAGUGCAGCGACUAGUGAAGAUGCAAGUAAAAGUACAACAACUAUGCCAGCAACAAAAGCAACGACACCAACGUACUUCUGCGACAUCAGAAGCUACUACGAGUAGAUCACCUACUGGAUCACAAAGUGACGGUAUACUAUACUUCAUCUAAUUCAUUGACGUCUAUAGACUAGAUAUAUAUCUAGAUAUUCAUUGACUUGACUAACUGAAUUGAAAUAAGAAAUCGUUUAUCGUAUACUGUCUACUUUUCUACAGCAGGUGGUGGACAAGAAAGUGGAAGAAAGUCUUCAGAUCUGACGGGUGUUGCAGUAUCAGGAUGGGUUGUAUCCGUCUUGCUAUUUGGAGUUAUACUUAUUAUGAUAUGGAUAAUUAGAAAACAUCGAGAAUCUAGUCAGAAAAAAUGCGAAGAGACAGCAAUGAGAGAAAAUCCUUCUUACAAUUUUAUAUCAUCACACGCUAGAGGAGGAACGGCUCCAUCAUCGACUGAUGCUGUGCAGUACGAAGAGAUAGGAAUGGAUGCAACUAGACGCCAAUGUUCCUACGAGAACAUUUCUAAGUCCUGACGACGCAAAAACCAGACAGAUGUAGAACAUCUAGCAGACGAAUGUAGCUCAUCAAUCCUAUCAGCACUCAUGCUUCUAGCUAAUCAACAACUACACUACUAGUACUGUUUUUCAAGUUGUAUUUACACGUUUUUCUUCAUUAUUUUACAGUAUACAUCUGUUUAUUAACUAACUUUAAUUUGAUUAGCGAAAAGCUGAUUUUACAAGACAGUUAAUUAAUUGCCAAUUUGAGUAGGAGGCUCUAGAAGAAUAUUA